CCCGCCGUGGACAACCUCCACUCCGGGUGCCGACUCCAGGCGGCGGAAGCCUCUGGAUUGGCUCACCUGGGCACCUGCUGUAGCUCCUGUGCCACCUGGCCUGGUAGUUUCCCAGCCCCCUCCGUUCUGGAGGGCUUCUCAAAACACCACGGAGGGACCUCUGAGUCCCCUAGUCGGUGCGCCCCAACAUCCCUGCCCCUGGCGGUUCCCUCCGCGUGGGGCCAGGCCUUUACCUGCUGGUCCCCAUUUCACCUUGGCAUCCUCACGUCCUCGGCCCUACUCAGACCACGGCAGGAUCACCGGGGGUGGGAAGGGUCCAGGGCAGUUGGACACGUGAACUCCAAGAUGCCUCCACAGGGUGGGCGAGGGGUCAGUGUUCGUUAACUGUCUCGUGGGCCUCAGGAAGCUCUUUCUGAGCGGGGUGGCAGCAUCCCCAGGGGUGCAGGACCACAUCCUCACCCUGGAGGUCUCACCACCGUGCAUGCCUCUCCCCUGUGGGAUUCUCUGUCAAGACGGGGGUCUCUCUGGGCCUGGACCACUGCACAGGCCUCCGUUGGUUCUCCCUCCACUGCCUCCUCCUCCUUCUGCCAGGGAGAACUCCCCAGAGUGCAGUCUGGCUCUCUCUGCACAGCCUGGAGCCCCUCUGUUGCACCCCUCCCCUCGUGGCUGGCUCCAAGAUGGUGACUAGUGUCCCAAGGCCCUGGACCGGCCACCCUCAUUCCUGCCACUUCCUGCCUUUCAUGCUUCACAGUAUGUCCCAGUUAGCAUCCCUCUGUCCUCCCACGGGGAGCUGAGUCCCGGUGGUCUCCUCUGUGCAGCCUGCCCCUAGCCUCCUGCCGUCCAGGGUCCAGACCUCCGUCCCCAGUCCCCGUGCCCUGCAUAUCCUUUUUUCAGGACACUCCACACAGUGUCCUGUUCCCCCUGCAAGUGGCAGCCCCCUUUCUAGAGCAGGAGUUCAGGAUUCUAGAGGGGAUGAAAUGUCCCUGGUCCCCCAGUCUAGCCCCCAACUCUUCCCAGCCAGCUUCAAUCAGCCACCCUGUCAGGUUUUCUGCCUUAGCUUUCUGCCAUCCAAAGUGAAUUGAGGUUAAUGUCUACUUCCCUCUCCCCUUAGACUGUAAGAUUUCUGAGGGCAGGCAUUUUUUCUGUCCUGUUACCUGGUGUGUCCCCAACCCCAGGACCCAGCCAGGCCCAUAGCAGAGGAAUGAUGGGUGUUUGUUGAUUGACUGUCAGACUCCCUAAGGGCAGGGACCUUAUGAAGUUAACCCCAGGAAAGUGCCAGGCCCAAAGGAGGCAGGCAAGAAGACUUGGUGAAGAGCCCAUGAAUAUGGUAAUCGGCUUUAGAAAUUCUUUGCAUUUGUUAAAAGCUGUUUGGUUUUCCGGCUUUUUCUGUCCUUUCCAGGAUGUGAUUUCAGAGUCUGAGGUUUGCUGCAAAAGAGACAGGUGAGCUGGUUGUGGGCUCUUCUUUCCACCUCCCAAGGGGUCCCCGGGGCCCUGAAAGGAGUGACCAGCCCCCAUAUGAUCCCGCAGACACCAACUGAGUGCGCCCCCAGCUUCCGGCCGAUCGGUGGCCGGCAGAGCCAGGUGCUCUGGGGAACUCCGUCUGCGACGGGCUGGAGCCUGGUGUCAGGGCUAAUAUUUUAUGCAUGGAACUGACUAAAUGGGAACAUUUGGAGAUGAAAAUUGCUUUAAUGCAGCCACACAUCUUUGUAAUAUAUUAAAUGUAUGUGGGGGGUGGGAGGCGACAUUACCCUUCCUUAAUAACUCCAAUGUAACCGUCCCCACACCACGGCAUUAACAAGCGCGGGCACCCCCCCGAGUCCGCUAUAGGCCACCGCUUGGGUACAUCAGUCACCACUUGAGAACUAUGCAUGAGACAAAGUGUCAGCCCAGGGUAGCAGGCAUUGCAGCGGGAUGUUCCAGACUCAUCUGAGACCCAAAGACAGUGACCCCAUGCUGCUGAGUGCAGAAUUUCAUUAAAAGCCAAAUUACUGGUUUAUCUGUUGUUUGAGGAGAAGAGAAAAUAAACAAAGAGCUUUUCUCAUCUGACAAGCUGAAUGAGAACGUCGGUCCCCCCAGCGGCCAGGAUGAGAUUCCCGGGGACCCUGAGCCGGAGGUUCAGAGCCCUGGGCCCACCUCUGAGGUGCUGCGUAAACCCAACCGUGGCUCCAAGUUCACGUGCACGCCUUUCCUGGUGCCUGCGUGGGCUGGUGUCCCAGCUCCCCGCACUGUGUCCCCUGGACACGGUUCCACAAGAAUCUGGAGGGCGUUGGGCAAAUCGGACCCACGUUCCCAUCCUCUUGUCAUUUUCAAGGGAGAUAAGAAAAAUCAUAGCUGCCCCAAAUGGGCUUUUGCCUUGUUCCUGGGCCCGCCUCCACUCUGGGGUGUUUACUCAUGCUCCUCCUCAGCCCUUGGGGGCAGGUUCUGUUUCACGGAUAAAGAAAUGGGGCACAGAGAGGUUGAGUGACUUGGCCAAGAUGAUCCAGCAGGGCGGCAGGGCAGGGUCUGGCUCCAGGCUGCUUGUUCUUAAUCAAGCUCGCUGCCUGCUGUUGCUUGCGAGCCAGCGCCUGGCUUCAGGAACUGUCCCUGUGUCCUAGAAGAAGGUGGGCCCGUCAAAUCUCCCCAAAUUCUCUUUGCACGAUGGGGUAGGCUCCCUUUUCCCCACACUUAGCUUGCUAUACUUUUCAUGGCCUUUAUCCCUGCACCCACCUGGGGUCUCCGGUGGCAUCGCCCACAAAAUGGGGGGUUGCAGCUGGGUGCAGCCCCGUGGCCCCUGGCUGUGCCUGGCCUGGGGGAGGGCUGCUGGCUCUGUCGGAAGCCUGGGUCCAGGGAGAUCUAGGUACUGAGACCGCAUGGCCCCGCGUCUUGCGGCCACAUUGAGCGCGUCUGACGGCGGUAUUUGCUGCCUCGUUGAGUGCAGAUCUAGUCAGGGCGGCCCGUGAGCUGGAACAGGGCGCAGACUCGCCAGCGCAUCUCUGCAGGGCGGGGCUCCCCCCAGGUCCCCCCCACCCCCGGCUUCCGGCUUGUACACCUCCUGGCACUGCACGGAGUGGUGGCUGGUGCCGUCCUGGAGACCACCCCCUACCCCUUCCCCGAGGUCACAGUCUCAGUGGGCCCCCGAGGAUGCAAAGAACCCCUAAAUGUCCAGGCUGAGUGAGACCUCUCGUCCCGUUGCCCCUGCCCCCUUGCACCUCCUUACAGGCAAGACCACGGAGCUCCAAGAGCUCUGCCAUGGCUUCUUCCUGUGGGUUGUCUCUAACUUUGAGGUUGAGACUUGAAAGGAAACAGGCUGCAAACGGCGCCCCUUGUGCUAAACCCCACCAGGACUCCACGCCUCGCCUGAGGGCGGUCCCAGCCGCUCCCCAAGCGCACUGUUGAACCCCUCAGUCUGGAAGUUCCUCGGGAGCCCCAGUGAGGUCGUCCGCCCCAUUAGACCCCCUGCCUAGAAAAUCCUGCCAUUUCCUACAGCUCCUUGGAGCUCCCUUCUGCUUGCGAGAUACAGUGCCCCGCGGUUCACGAAUCAUUGAAUUAAGCUAACCCGAUCUUGACAUUUCCUCAGCUGAAUCUAGGUUUUUAGUAAGACCCGCCUCUGGUGAAGAAGUAGGUUCCCUCCUUGUGACAGAGGGGACCCAGCAGCCUGGGGCUGUAGAAGCACCUAGUGGGACUCAGUACCCGCGGCGGGGAUGCUGCCUCCUGCCGCUGGGCUUCCCGAAGCCAUGGCCUUGACUCCGCGGAGCCGGCUCACACCGGGAGCGACUACGCAGGAGGCGCUGGGAGAAUGUUUGUGGAAUGAAUAAAUGAAAGCAUGCUCUGAGGGAAUAAAGAAGCAGAGACAGGAAGAAGAAUCUGGGGUAGACAGACAUGAAUCUCCGCCAAGGCCAUGCAGUCGAGGCCGCUGUGAAGACCCCGUGGAGGCAGAGGGGCCAUUUGUCACCAGCAGGGACAGGCCCUAGGGCCGGGAAGCACGGGCGCCAUGCGGUCUCGUUCAUCAUCAUCCCAUUAUUAGGGAUGGUGCCAUCUUACUCAGGACGUGGAGGACGCAUGCGAAGCGCGCUGCCCGCCAGCCCGCGGAGUGCGCGCAGGGCUGGGGCUGGGGAAGGACCCCGAGGAAGGGCAGGUCUGGGGCCCGGAAGGCCUGGUGUGGGCAGCAGGGAGGACAGGAGCCACAUUGGGCCACGUGGCCAGUCCCCGGGUAGGACUUUGGUGCCUUUAUGGCUGCAGGACCCAAAUGGGAGUGUGAUGGGACCUCUCAAAGAACUCUUCGGGUUCUGGGUGCUGAAGUUGUUUUCAUAUCUACAAGUCCCAGUGCCAUGCCUUUGCUCAAGCUGUGGCCCUGCCUGGAAUGCCUGUCCCUCCUUAUCCUUGAAGGCUCUGCUCCAGUGCUACCUCCUCCAGGAAGCCUUCCUUGAUCCACCUCUAUACAUACAACUCCAAUAUGCAGUCAGUUAUCAGUCCUCUGAUCCUUUGAUCAAUGUCUCUCCCUGCCCAGCUUUCAGGCUGCACAGAGGCAGGGACUGUUUCUGGUUUGGUCACCAUGGGACACAGAACCUAGCCCGGGGAAGGCGCCACAUGAUGCUCAUUGGCCUUGUCUUCCCUUUGCAGGUGUGCUGGACCAGGCGCUUGCCUGUGCCCAGUAUACAGACAUCCCAUGCAUGGAGCCUUUGGUUGACCCCAACCAUGAGCCAAGGGCUGGACCAGAGGAGCCUACACCAGACCUCUUGUGCCUGGAGAGACGUGCGCUGUGAGCUGGGGAGCCCAGCCUGAUCCUGGAGGAGUUCCUCGGUUCUG
ensembl:lncRNA